AAAAUCCUGAGGGCAGGCAAAACUGUCGACUGGGUUUGGGGUGGGACAGGAGAGGGGUUUGAGGUGGGACAGGAAUGGGGCUUGGGGUGGGACAGGAAUGGGGUGUCUGCAGCACC